rnacentral:lncRNA from 1 species
CAAACAGUAUUUUAUUCAACAAUCAAUAAGAUGAACAUACACAGAAGUACUUCCCCCAUCAAGUAGUGUGUGAAUGUUAGAGGUAAUAACCUCAAAGCUUUCUCUCUUCCUCUGUUUAGUGCCAUGAAAGGAAUUAGAAUGAAGGCCUCUAUGAAAUAAUAUGAAGAAUUUUGUCUCUCCAGGUGAAGUGAAGCUCCCUUUUCCGAGGUGUCUCCAUCAGCUGAUCUGGCCAUCUCAGUUCUCCAGUCUCCAAGGAAGCACCAGGAACACAUGGCCCGCAUUCUCCCCAGGGCACCUCACAUAGGACUCUCACAGAAACUCCCCAGGUAUCAUGAAAAGAAAACACUGAGUCCUCUGACUUUAUUAUUGAAGAACACAACGGGUAGUGUCUUCAACAGCAGCUUUCUGAUCAUGCAGGAAAUGUCUUCAUAUGGCUGUGUCUACAGUGGCAGGGCUUGGGGAGCAUUUACAAUCAUCAUGCAAUGCCUGCCUGAACAUACUCCCAGAGGUCAGGAAAAGAACUUUUUUAUGACCAGAGUCAGCCAAAAAUGCAAAAUGAAGCCAUCAAGGCAGAAUAUUAGGUAG